rnacentral:rRNA from 1 species
CCUACGGGAAGGCAGCAGUGGGGAAUAUUGCACAAUGGGCGCAAGCCUGAUGCAGCCAUGCCGCGUGUGUGAAGAAGGCCUUCGGGUUGUAAAGCACUUUCAGUCAGGAGGAAAGGUUAGUAGUUAAUACCUGCUAGCUGUGACGUUACUGACAGAAGAAGCACCGGCUAACUCCGUGCCAGCAGCCGCGGUAAUACGGAGGGUGCGAGCGUUAAUCGGAAUUACUGGGCGUAAAGCGUACGCAGGCGGUUUGUUAAGCGAGAUGUGAAAGCCCCGGGCUCAACCUGGGAACUGCAUUUCGAACUGGCAAACUAGAGUGUGAUAGAGGGUGGUAGAAUUUCAGGUGUAGCGGUGAAAUGCGUAGAGAUCUGAAGGAAUACCGAUGGCGAAGGCAGCCACCUGGGUCAACACUGACGCUCAUGUACGAAAGCGUGGGGAGCAAACGGGAUUAGAUACCCCGGUAGUCCACGCCGUAAACGAUGUCUACUAGAAGCUCGGAGCCUCGGUUCUGUUUUUCAAAGCUAACGCAUUAAGUAGACCGCCUGGGGAGUACGGCCGCAAGGUUAAAACUCAAAUGAAUUGACGG